AAUUUAAUGAAUGCUGUAGUGCAAACAGUGAAAAUGUCAUACAUCGCCUCCACCAAGAUCAUCCGCAUCCAGAGUUCUGCAGGGCCCCGGCACCCAGUUGUCAUGUGGAGAAUGAAGGCUCCGGCUAAAAAGCCCUUGAUUAAAAGAGAGAAGCCAGAAGAAACAUGGGCAGUUGUCAGAAGAGGCUCCGCCAAGAAAAAAAUCCACCCAGUUCAAGUCAUGAGUGAAUUCAGAGGGAGACAAGUCUACUGAAUACCGUCAUCCACUCUAGUGCCCAUUUCUACACCCCAGGCUAACCACACCGCUUUAUUUCAUGGUUCAUUGGUUCUUUAAUUUCACCAAGUUUAAGAGUUAAACUCCCAAAUAACAUAAAACAUUGGGGUUAAA
rnacentral:lncRNA from 1 species